rnacentral:rRNA from 1 species
CGUAGGGUGCGAGCGUUGUCCGGAAUUAUUGGGCGUAAAGGGCUCGUAGGCGGUUUGUCACGUCGGGAGUGAAAACUCGGGGCUUAACCCCGAGCCUGCUUCCGAUACGGGCUGACUAGAGGUAUGCAGGGGGAGAACGGAAUUCCUGGUGUAGCGGUGAAAUGCGCAGAUAUCAGGAGGAACACCGGUGGCGAAGGCGGUUCUCUGGGCAUUACCUGACGCUGAGGAGCGAAAGUGUGGGGAGCGAACAGGAUUAGAUACCCUGGUAGUCCACACCGUAAACGUUGGGCGCUAGGUGUGGGACUCAUUCCACGAGUUCCGUGCCGCAGCUAACGCAUUAAGCGCCCCGCCUGGGGAGUACGGCCGCAAGGCUA